AGAAAGGAGGUGGGCUUUUUUUUCACCCUGCUUUAAAAGCCCUUGGGCCCUUCCCAGCUGGGUGCCAGCCAACUGUGGCUGCCUGGGACACUCCAUCUUAAGUCCCUGUGCCUCUGCUGUGUGUUACUGAGUGCCUAGGCCGUGCCAGCCUGUAUUCAUCUGUACUAUGACCUGAAGAGGCAGAGGCCAUCACUGUUGGUCCGGUCUCCACCUGGGGAAACUGAGGUGUCUCUGUGGUGACGAGCAGGGCUUCAUCCAGUGCCUCUGUCCCCACCGAGGGGACUAUGGGAGACAUGGAGGGUGUGUGAGCAACAGGUGAGACUGGAGCCAGCUGAAAACUGGGAGACCGACCCAGCCAACAAACAAUGUCGGUCUCUGUCUUGGCACCUGCAGGAAACAAGCUCCUACUUCCAGAAAAAGUGCUCCUGGGACUCCAGGAUACCAGAUCCUUCCCUGGCACCGGUUCCAGGAGGACCUCGUUCUUAGGCAGCAUCUGUGUCUCUGUUUUGUAAGACACACAGAGUAUCCUUAACCCACUGCAGAUAUUUCCCUGGGUCCAUGGUCAAUCAACACCACCUUUCAGUCUCCAGCCUCUUAACCAGCCCAGGGCUGAGUGUUGUUUAUAGUAUUAAUAUGUUUCUGGCUGGGCUCAGUGGCUCAUGCCUGUAAUCCCGGCACUAUGGGAGGCUGAGGCAGGCGGAUCACUUGAGGUCAGGAGUUCAAGACCAGCCUGGCCAACAUAGUAAAACCCCGUCUCUACUAAAAAUACAAAAAUGAGCCGGGUGUGGUGGCGUGUGUCUAUAAUCCCAGCUACUCGGGAGGCUGAGGCAGGAGAAUUGCUUGAACCUGGGAGGUGGAGGCUACAGUGAGCUGAGAUCAUGCCACUGCACUCCAGCCUGGGCAAGAAAGUGAGACUCCAUCUCAAAACAAAGAAACAAACAAAGUAUUAAUAUGUUCCCCUUGAUCAGUGGGGUGGUUCACCCUUGUAAUCCCAGCACUUUGGGAGGCAGAGGCUGGCGGAUCGCUUGAGUCCAGGAGUUCGAGACCAGCCUGGGUGAA
rnacentral:lncRNA from 10 species